CACACAUUGAGGUGAUCAGUGAGGUGUGUAGUGGGAAAAGGGGUAAUACACACAUUGAGGUGAUCAGUGAGGUGUGUAUGGGAAAAGGGGUAAUACACACAUUGAGGUGAUCAGUGAGGUGUGUAGUGGGAAAAGGGGUAAUACACACAUUGAGGUGAUCAGUGAGGUGUGUAGUGGGAUAGAGAGAGGAGCUGUGACAUGGUAAAUACCUUCUGGAAAACUGAGAGACUCUAAAGGUUCCGUUCUGCAAGGCUCAGGACAGGUAGUGAUGGAGGGGGAACAGUCAGACCAGGGCUUGAACCGGAGACCCUGGGUUACAGGGCAGGCAUUCUGCCAUAAAGGUCCAGACCUCUUGGCAGAGGGCGUAGUGUGCUCACAUACAAGGAGACAACCCAACAUAGACCAGGGGCUGAUACAGUGGAUUGAUUCAUCAGUGUCAAACCAAACGUGUGGCUUAGUUAGAAAUGGACUCUUUGGUUCAUUUUCCAAAUACAGGUGUCCUAUGUAUGCACACACACACACAUUCAUCAACAUACACACACAGGCACACACACACACAUUCAUCAACAUACACACACACAGGCACACACACACACAUUCAUCAACAUACACACACACAGGCACACACACACACAUUCAUCAACAUACACACACACAGGCACACGCACACAUUCAUCAACAUACACACACACACACAGGCACACACACACACAAACACACUCAUCAGUGUGUACACACACACACACAAACACACACACAAACACACUCAUCAGUGUGUACA
rnacentral:lncRNA from 1 species